CCAGCCCGGGGAUGCCUUAGUAACGGCGAGUGAAGCGGCAAAAGCUCAAAUUUGAAAUCUGGUACCUUCGGUGCCCGAGUUGUAAUUUGGAGAGGGCAACUUUGGGGCCGUUCCUUGUCUAUGUUCCUUGGAACAGGACGUCAUAGAGGGUGAGAAUCCCGUGUGGCGAGGAGUGCGGUUCUUUGUAAAGUGCCUUCGAAGAGUCGAGUUGUUUGGGAAUGCAGCUCUAAGUGGGUGGUAAAUUCCAUCUAAAGCUAAAUAUUGGCGAGAGACCGAUAGCGAACAAGUACAGUGAUGGAAAGAUGAAAAGAACUUUGAAAAGAGAGUGAAAAAGUACGUGAAAUUGUUGAAAGGGAAGGGCAUUUGAUCAGACAUGGUGUUUUGUGCCCUCUGCUCCUUGUGGGUAGGGGAAUCUCGCAUUUCACUGGGCCAGCAUCAGUUUUGGUGGCAGGAUAAAUCCAUAGGAAUGUAGCUUGCCUCGGUAAGUAUUAUAGCCUGUGGGAAUACUGCCAGCUGGGACUGAGGACUGCGACGUAAGUCAAGGAUGCUGGCAUAAUGGUUAUAUGCCGCCCGUCUUGAACACGGAACCAUAAACCGUGUAUCACUGGGCGGAUUGAAAGGCGGACCAUUUAAAACAGGAACCAUGUUGAACAGAGACCAAUAGGCGCGGG
rnacentral:rRNA from 1 species